AGAACGAACGCUGGCGGCAGGCCUCAAACAUGCAAGUCUAGGGGGCGUAGCAAUACGUCACCGGCGGACGGGUGCGUAACACGUGGGAAUGUACUUAUUGGUUCGGAACAACUCAGGGAAACUUGAGCUAAUACCGAAUGUGCCCGAAAGGGGAAAGAUUUAUCGCCAAUAAAUCAGCCCGCGUCCGAUUAGCUAGUUGGUGGGGUAAAGGCCCACCAAGGCGACGAUCGGUAGCUGUUCUGAGAGGAAGAUCAGCCACACUGGGACUGAGACACGGCCCCAGACUCCUACGGGAGGCAGCAGUUGGGAAUCUUGGACAUGGGGAAACCCUGAUCCAGCCAUGCCGCGUGAGUGAUGAAGGCCUUGGGUUGUAAAACUCUUUCGACGGGGACGAUAAUGACGGUACCCGUAGAAGAAGCUCCGGCUAACUUCGCGCCAGCAGCCGC
rnacentral:rRNA from 1 species